GAUAAACAAGAAUGUGUCCUCAGUACACGAAUGCCCCACUCGCACUAUCAUUUUCCAUGUUCAGUGGACCGUGAAAUUGGGGUAAAAACUCUAAUUUGGCAUUAAAAUUAGAAAGAUCAUAUCAUAGGGCACAUGUGUACUAAGUUUGAAGUCGAUUGGACUUAAACUUCAUCAAAAACUACCUUGACAAAAACUUUAACCUGAAGCGGGACAGACGGACGGACGAACG
rnacentral:lncRNA from 1 species